rnacentral:rRNA from 1 species
GCCGGACUUGGCGGCGUGCUUACACAUGCAAGUCGAACGAUGAACCACUUCGGUGGGGAUUAGUGGCGAACGGGUGAGUAACACGUGGGCAAUCUGCCCUGCACUCUGGGACAAGCCCUGGAAACGGGGUCUAAUACCGGAUACUGAUCCUCGCAGGCAUCUGCGAGGUUCGAAAGCUCCGGCGGUGCAGGAUGAGCCCGCGGCCUAUCAGCUAGUUGGUGAGGUAACGGCUCACCAAGGCGACGACGGGUAGCCGGCCUGAGAGGGCGACCGGCCACACUGGGACUGAGACACGGCCCAGACUCCUACGGGAGGCAGCAGUGGGGAAUAUUGCACAAUGGGCGAAAGCCUGAUGCAGCGACGCCGCGUGAGGGAUGACGGCCUUCGGGUUGUAAACCUCUUUCAGCAGGGAAGAAGCGAAAGUGACGGUACCUGCAGAAGAAGCGCCGGCUAACUACGUGCCAGCAGCCGCGGUAAUACGUAGGGCGCAAGCGUUGUCCGGAAUUAUUGGGCGUAAAGAGCUCGUAGGCGGCUUGUCACGUCGGUUGUGAAAGCCCGGGGCUUAACCCCGGGUCUGCAGUCGAUACGGGCAGGCUAGAGUUCGGUAGGGGAGAUCGGAAUUCCUGGUGUAGCGGUGAAAUGCGCAGAUAUCAGGAGGAACACCGGUGGCGAAGGCGGAUCUCUGGGCCGAUACUGACGCUGAGGAGCGAAAGCGUGGGGAGCGAACAGGAUUAGAUACCCUGGUAGUCCACGCCGUAAACGGUGGGCACUAGGUGUGGGGCAACAUUCCACGUUGUCCGUGCCGCAGCUAACGCAUUAAGUGCCCCCGCCUGGGGGAGUACGGCCG